AGAGCUGGUGCCCAGCCUAAGAGAAGAGUUGCCAUUGACUCGGUGUGAGUUGAAAAGACAGAGCUCCAUCAGCUGGAACGUGAUCUGUGGAAACAACCUUGCUCUUCCAAAGGUGGCCUGAUGGUCAAACACUAACUCCAACCCUCUGCAUCUUGCAAAACUUCACAAGGUCAUGCUGAGGAGCAGAAAGGCUUUAAAUGAAUCCUGCACGGAAAUUCGUGGAAGUGACCGCCAUCUUCAGAAUGUGCACAGAUGCAUAAGGUUGGUCGCCUCACUUCUGUCAGUGAUUUGUCCUGGAGGCAUACUGAGAAAAGACAGGAACACUGAAGAAAUUUAUAUUGCAUUCUUUCAUUGAGAUACAUAUAACCAGAGGGAGAUGGCUACGUUCAAACUACAGAACCUAUAUUUGACUUCCAAGGUACAGUUCAUGUGCUUGCGCUGCUCAUCCCACAGUGCCAUGUUCAUAAGUCUUCUUUUGACUGCACUAUACAACUCCUCCGAAAGGCAUCAUGGCUGCAGUGUCAGGAUUGAAUUAAAACAUCAUAAAGAGGUGCUUUCCUGGGAACUAAUAAAAUCAAGUUCAGUGCAAGAACAGUUCUACAUGAUCUCUUUGGCCUCUGACGUUUUUCAAAAGAAAAAAAAAAAUUGCUUAUUCCUCACUUUUAAGCAAAUGAUCAUUCGGACUAGAAUUUAUUUCAGAGCAUCACUGUGAACAUUCUUGUUCAAGUGACCUUUACCAGGGGGGAAUACCACGCUCUGAUGGAGUGACAGAUUUGAACUGGCCCUUUUCCUGUCUAACAGCAGUGACUUCUGAACUUCGCUGUGGGUUUGUCUUGACAAGAAUGAAAAGCUGCUUUCAGAGGAUGGAAGCUCACAAGCUAUGUGUUGUUGUACACACGCGCAAGCAUAUAUCCCCCUGCAUACUCUCUUUUCCUCUAAUCAAGAUGAACCGGGUGAGAGCAGAAUCAGACAUCAGAACAGCACAACCCACAGGUAGCAGGCAGAGGGGAGAGGAGAGAUGCAGGAGAACCAUGUUACAAAAGACAUUUAUUAAUCAUGAACUAACUGUAAAGUCAUCAGAGCCACCCCAGUGGCCCUGACUGAAAACUCUGGUCUGCUACUAGUGUGACUUUCACAGCACUCUCUGCAUGGGCUGCUUCUGUUCUUGAGCUGAAACACGAGUUGAAGCUGACUGCAUUAUAUUUUGACAAUCCAUUUAAAAAAAAAAAAAAGAAUUUAUUUGCUAAUCCUUCAGGGGGAAGGGAGUAUAGAGGGACUAAGAGCACGUGAUGGAGGAAUCCAGCUUUCUAAUUUACACUGACCUUCAGGCUUGACCAUAAACUUUUACCACCCCCAAAUGAACAUUUCAUUUCAUUCUGGAGAUAUGUUUUGGUGCAUGUAAAAAAAUCUGACCACUUUUUUACAUGCACAAAUACAGACUAAGCUCUUUUGAAAGCCGCGACCUGUGAUGUGGACUUAAAAUCUGCCUCUUAAUAUAUACUUUUGCCACAAUUGUCUGUAUGAUCUAGUCUCUCUCUAGUCAUCUCCUCACUCUCAGGGCACUGCAAAUACUCCAAGAAACUGUAUGCCUCAACUAUAUCUGAUUUCAUUCUCUCACUCCAUUGGGCUAUCUGCUGACCUAAAUGUGUGAUAGCGAGAAAUCACCACCUAAUUAAGGCAUAAUAGGAUGCCAAUGAAACAAAAUAAAUAAAAAUCAGAAAGGAUUUUAAGAA